GACGAACGCUGGCGGCGUGCCUAAUACAUGCAAGUAGAACGCUGAAGGAGGAGCUUGCUUCUCUGGAUGAGUUGCGAACGGGUGAGUAACGCGUAGGUAACCUGCCUGGUAGCGGGGGAUAACUAUUGGAAACGAUAGCUAAUACCGCAUAAGAGUAGAUGUCGCAUGACAUUUGCUUAAAAGGUGCAAUUGCAUCACUACCAGAUGGACCUGCGUUGUAUUAGCUAGUUGGUGAGGUAACGGCUCACCAAGGCAACGAUACAUAGCCGACCUGAGAGGGUGAUCGGCCACACUGGGACUGAGACACGGCCCAGACUCCUACGGGAGGCAGCAGUAGGGAAUCUUCGGCAAUGGACGGAAGUCUGACCGAGCAACGCCGCGUGGGUGAAGAAGGUUUUCGGAUCGUAAAGCUCUGUUGUAAGAGAAGAACGAGUGUGAGAGUGGAAAGUUCACACUGUGACGGUAUCUUACCAGAAAGGGACGGCUAACUACGUG
rnacentral:rRNA from 1 species